rnacentral:tRNA from 1 species
CUCUUGGUGGCUGAGUGGUAAAGCACUUGGCUUCCAAACCAAGGAGUCUUGGGUUGGAAUCUCGGUGAAGACU